UAGCCGUAAACGAUACUCGCUAGGUGUCGGCCACGGUGCGACCGUUGUCGGUGCCGUAGGGAAGCCGUGAAGCGAGCCACCUGGGAAGUACGGCCGCAAGGCUGAAACUUAAAGGAAUUGGCGGGGGAGCACCACAACGGGUGGAGCUUGCGGUUUAAUUGGAUUCAACGCCGGAAAUCUUACCGGGACCGACAGCAACAUGAAGGCCAGGCUGAAGACUUUGCCGGAUUAGCUGAGAGGUGGUGCAUGGCCGUAGUCGUGU
rnacentral:rRNA from 1 species